AACACUUCAUACAUGCAUAGAUAUUGACUGACAACUAAUAUAAUAAUUGUAUGUAAUUCAAUUGAAAAAAUUGACAUAAAAAGUAUGUCUUCUUAUAAAAAUGUAAAUAUAACUAAGAUUAUAAGAACAACAUAAAAAAGAUAAAUGAUACAGUCAUGUAAUCAAAAAUACAAACAAGAGGAAAAAUCAAGUUGUUUGAUCUCUUCACUUAAAAGGUUUUGUGCACAGUUUGACUGUAGCAGUCUGUUAAAGUCAGUGUUUAAGACAUUUUUUAUUUUUCAUAACUUUCACUCCAACCAUCUUUUGUAUGAUGGAAAUCUUAAUGCCCCUUAAAUUAUAGAGUAUUUCCCCUUAAAAUAGAAAACUCUUACCCAAAAUAAAAGAAAUCCACACUUUUUACAUGGAUUUUUUCAACUUAUCCUAGCCACAAUAUGAUGAAGUAUUCAUGUAUUGUAGAUCCCUAUAUGUCACCCAAUAUUUAGGGUGUUAGUAUCUCUGGUCCUCUCAUAUCUUGAAGGCAGAAAAUCAAAAAUGUAGAGAUGUCAAUAUUUACAUCAAAUAAAUUAAUACAUGUAAUAUUUAUGCAUCUUUCAGAAAACUGUAUCAAAUUGGGCAAAUAAAUUGUGUUAAUGAUUAAAUAUGAAAAUAAUAUUCAGUUUUGUUUUUUAAUUGAAAUAUUUGAGCAUAUUAUGUGCUUAACGUUAUGUCUGGUUGACCCCAAUGACCCUUUUUAAUUGCAAAAGGUAGACAUAUUCUUUAGUUAAUGCAAUUAUACUUAAAAUUUAAAAAAAAAAAACAAGAUCAGGGUAGGAAAUGCCAAAAGCAAUAACCAACAAGAAACUUGUUUAGGAUGUAACGAACAAAAAAUAAAAUAAAACAAAUAUGAAGUCAGAGGAUUCUCAAGGGGCAAUAAACACUGCAAAAAAAAUAAAAAAAAUACACAAUACUACAUGGUAAAAACAGACUAGAUAUGUUUGGUCAUAAUGACUACAUGAAUUGCCCUGUCUACAAAAUGACAGAAGUAAUUUUACACAAAAGUCAAGAACACAAUAUAAGUCAUUACAAUGGUAAUAAAAAAUGUAUAUCGAACAAAAAUAUUGAGUCACUAAGCGAAAACCAUUGGAUGAACUAUGGUACACAGUUGAGGUACACAAUUAGACAGACAAUGCAAAACAACAGAACCAAAAACGAAGGCGCAGAAAGCGUUUUUUAUAUUUUGGCUCAUGUAAUUUUCAUAAAAUUUUGAUAAAAUAUUUACUUUUACUCUUUUAUAAAAAAAUAAAGAUUUCACUAAAAA
rnacentral:lncRNA from 1 species